ACCUCUGUGGUGUAGUGGUAGCACGCGUCCCUGGUAUGGAUGAAACGCGAGUUCGACUUCCGCACGAGGUC